GAUCUGGCUCAGGAUGAACGCUAGCUACAGGCUUAACACAUGCAAGUCGAGGGGCAGCAUCAUCAAAGCUUGCUUUGAUGGAUGGCGACCGGCGCACGGGUGAGUAACACGUAUCCAACCUGCCGACAACACUGGGAUAGCCUUUCGAAAGAAAGAUUAAUACCGGAUGGCAUAAUUAUUCCGCAUGGGAUAAUUAUUAAAGAAUUUCGGUUGUCGAUGGGGAUGCGUUCCAUUAGG
rnacentral:rRNA from 1 species